AAGACCUUGCACUUUUGGAGCGGCCGAUGUCUGAUUAGCUAGUUGGUGGGGUAAUGGCCUACCAAAGCUUCGAUCAGUAGCUGGUCUGAGAGGACGGCCAGCCACACUGGGACUGAGACACGGCCCAGACUCCUACGGGAGGCAGCAGUGGGGAAUUUUGGACAAUGGGCGCAACCCUGAUCCAGCCAUGCCGCGUGAGUGAAGAAGGCCUUCGGGUUGUAAAGCUCUUUCAGCCGGAACGAAACGGUUACGGAUAACACCCGUGACUACUGACGGUACCGGAAGAAGAAGCACCGGCUAACUACGUGCCAGCAGCCGCGGUAAUACGUAGGGUGCGAGCGUUAAUCGGAAUUACUGGGCGUAAAGCGUGCGCAGGUGGUUUUGUAAGUCAGAUGUGAAAGCCCCGGGCUCAACCUGGGAACU
rnacentral:rRNA from 1 species